GUCCAGACUCCUACGGGAGGCAGCAGUGGGGAAUAUUGGGCAAUGGGCGCAAGCCUGACCCAGCAACGCCGCGUGAAGGAAGAAGGCUUUCGGGUUGUAAACUUCUUUUCUCAGGGACGAAGAAAGUGACGGUACCUGAGGAAUAAGCCACGGCUAAAUACGUGCCAGCAGCCGCGGUAAUACGUAUGGUGCGAGCGUUGUCCGGAUUUACUGGGCGUGAAGGGGGCGCAGGCGGCGCGCCAAGCCCGAUGUGAAAGCCCGGGGCUCAACCCCGGGACUGCAUUGGGAACUGGCGUGCUGGAGUGCCGGAGGGGCAGGCGGAAUUCCUGGUGUAGCGGUGAAAUGCGUAGAUAUCAGGAGGAACACCGGUGGCGAAGGCGGCCUGCUGGACGGAUACUGACGCUGAGGCCCGAAAGCGUGGGGAGCGAACAGGAUUAGAUACCCCAGUACGG
rnacentral:rRNA from 1 species